AUGCUCACUUCGGCACCACAUUUAUUAAAAUUGCAAUGAUACAGAGAUUAGCAUGGCUCCUGAGCAAGGAUGACAUGCAAUAUAAAAUUCAAAUCGAAAAAAUGUUU
ensembl:snRNA RNU6-193P RNA, U6 small nuclear 193, pseudogene